AUGGCUCAAUGGUCGAAUCUUCCUCACGAUCUUCUUGUGUCCAUUGCCAAACUUCUGCUUGUCUUGGAGGAUUUUACUGUUUUUGGUACAGUUUGUAGAUCAUGGAAAUCAGCCGCGAUCAAGGAAAACUUUACUAGAACAUCACAUCAAGUUCCAUUGCUUAUGCUUCCAGAAAGGGAGGGCGCCACAAUCUGAGAGUUCUACAACCUGAAAAAAGGCAAGAUUCACAAACUUAAUCUGCCACCAUUAGCUAAGGAAAAGCUGUGUUAUUCUUCCCUAGGAUGGCUAAAGACUCAGUCCAAUAACGAUUCGAAAUUUAAUCUAUUGCAUCCUUUAAAUCAUGCCCAUGUUGAGCUUCCGGAUCUUGAGAUAUUUAAAUAAUCUCAUCCUCCUCAUCUAGAUCUACUAAGAAAUAUAGCAUUAGUGUUGGGCAAAUUCGUUGUAAGGAAAUUCACCUUAUCAUCAAGCCCUUCUUUCACAUCAGAUUACAUUGUCAUGAUUCAUAGUUGGGGUAAAUUUGCGUUUUGGAGACCAGGAGACCACGAAUGGACCAUAGUGGAUGAUGCAUUUGGAAAACCAUAUCAUAUUUAUUCUGAUUAAACUUAUCAUAACGGACAAUUUUAUGCAGUGAACUCUUCUGGCAAUGUCUUUGUUUGUGAGAUGGAAGAACCUAAGAAAGCAAAGAUGAAACUUGUUGUUCCAAGCAGC
rnacentral:lncRNA from 1 species